UAAAGUUGUUGCGGUUAAAAGCUCGUAGUCGGAGGUGUGUCUCGGACGGUCGGUUCGCCGCUUGCCGGUGCUCAACUGGCCGGUCCGGACGUCCUGCCGGUGGGGCCGCGAGGCUCCGUUAUCCUUCUUUGGUCCUCUUCACCGAGUGCCUUGGUGGGCCGGCACGUUUACUUUGAACAAAUUAGAGUGCUCAAAGCAGGCCGUUGGUCGCCUGAAUACUGUGUGCAUGGAAUAAUGGAAUAGGACCUCGGUUCCAUUUUGUUGGUUUUCAGAACUCGAGGUAAUGAUUAAUAGGGACGGACGGGGGCAUUCGUAUUGCGACGUUAGAGGUGAAAUUCUUGGAUCGUCGCAAGACGAACCGAUGCGAAAGCAUUUGCCAAGAACGUUUUCGUUGAUCAAGAACGAAAGUUAGAGGUUCGAAGGCGAUCAGAUACCGCCCUAGUUCUAACCAUAAACGAUGCCAGCUAGCCAUCCGCCGAAGUUCCUUCUAUGACUCGGCGGGCAGCUUCCGGGAAACCAAAGCUCUUGGGUUCCGGGGGAAGUAUGGUUGCAAAGCUCAAACUUAGGAAU
rnacentral:rRNA from 1 species